rnacentral:rRNA from 1 species
UAAGGAAUAUUGGUCAAUGGACGCAAGUCUGAACCAGCCAUGCCGCGUGGAGGAUUAAGGCCCUCUGGGUUGUAAACUCCUUUUAUCUGGGAAGAAAUGUACUUUUUCUUGAGUACUUGACGGUACCAGAGGAAUAAGCACCGGCUACCUCCGUGCCAGCAGCCGCGGUAAUACGGAGGGUGCAAGCGUUAUCCGGAUUCACUGGGUUUAAAGGGUGCGUAGGUGGGCAGGUAAGUCAGUGGUGAAAUCUCCGGGCUUAACCCGGAAACUGCCGUUGNUACUAUGUGGCAUGAAUAUUGUGGAGGGAAGCGGAAUAUGUCAUGUAGCGGUGAAAUGCUUAGAUAUGACAUAGAACACCGAUUGCGAAGGCAGCUCACUACGGGAUCAUUGACGCUGAGGCACGAAAGCG